GAUGAACGCUGGCGGCGUGCCUAAUACAUGCAAGUCGAGCGAACGGACGAGAAGCUUGCUUCUCUGAUGUUAGCGGCGGACGGGUGAGUAACACGUGGAUAACUUACCUAUAAGACUGGGAUAACUUCGGGAAACCGGAGCUAAUACCGGAUGAUAUUUUGAACCGCAUGGUUCAAAAGUGAAAGACGGUCUUGCUGUCACUUAUAGAUGGAUCCGCGCUGCAUUAGCUAGUUGGUAAGGUAACGGCUUACCAAGGCAACGAUGCAUAGCCGACCUGAGAGGGUGAUCGGCCACACUGGAACUGAGACACGGUCCAGACUCCUACGGGAGGCAGCAGUAGGGAAUCUUCCGCAAUGGGCGAAAGCCUGACGGAGCAACGCCGCGUGAGUGAUGAAGGUCUUCGGAUCGUAAAACUCUGUUAUUAGGGAAGAACAUAUGUGUAAGUAACUGUGCACAUCUUGACGGUACCUAAUCAGAAAGCCACGGCUAACUACGUG
rnacentral:rRNA from 1 species